rnacentral:rRNA from 1 species
UACGUAGGGGGCAAGCGUUGUCCGGAAUUAUUGGGCGUAAAGAGCGCGUAGGCGGUCCGAUAAGUCGGCUGUGAAAGUCAAGGGCUCAACCCUUGAAAGCCGGCCGAUACUGUCGGACUAGAGUCCGGAAGAGGCGAGUGGAAUUCCCGGUGUAGCGGUGAAAUGCGUAGAGAUCCGGAGGAACACCAGUGGCGAAGGCGACACGCUGGGCCGUACCUGACACUAAAACGCGACAGCAUGGGGAGCGAACGGG